AUUGAACGCUGGCGGCAGGCCUAACACAUGCAAGUCGAACGCGUGGCGGACUGGUGCGUACUGUUUGGGAAUCUAGCUUAUGGAGGGGGAUAACUACGGGCAACUGUAGCUAAUACCGCGUCCAAUAGGAUGAGCCCAUGUGGGAUUAGGUAGUUGGUGAGGUAAAGGCUCACCAAGCCGACGAUCUCUAGCUGGUCUGAGAGGAUUACCAGCCAAACGGGAACUGCGACACGGCCCAGACUCCUACGGGAGGCAUCAGUGGGGAAUAUUGCACAAUGGGCGCAAGCCUGAUGCAGCCAUGCCGCGUGUGUGAAGAAGGCCUUCGGGUUGUAAAGCACUUUCAGCGAGGAGGCGUUACUCGCAGAAGAAGCACCGGCUAACUCCGUGCCAGCAGCCGCGGUAAUAC
rnacentral:rRNA from 1 species